CCCUUAGAUGUUCUGGGCCGCACGCGCGCUACACUGACGAAUGCAACGAGCUUAUAACCUUGGCCGAAAGGUCUGGGUAAUCUCCAAAUUUCGUCGUGAUGGGGAUAGAUUAUUGCAAUUAUUAAUCUUCAACGAGGAAUGCCUAGUAAGCGCAAGUCAUCAGCUUGCGUUGAUUACGUCCCUGCCCUUUGUACACACCGCCCGUCGCUCCUACCGAUUGAAUGGUCCGGUGAAGCGUUCGGACCGUGGCCUUUGGACGGUUCGCCGUCGGCGACGCUGGUAGAAGAUCUUUAAACCUUAUCAUUUAGAGGAAGGAGAAGUCGUAACA
rnacentral:rRNA from 1 species